UGCAUUGCGACGGGUUACAUCACUGAAUUUAGCAUGAUGUAACCCAACGCAGCAUGAU
rnacentral:pre_miRNA from 1 species